CCUACGGGAGGCAGCAGUGAGGAAUAUUGGUCAAUGGGCGCGAGCCUGAACCAGCCACGUAGCGUGAAGGAUGACUGCCCUACGGGUUGUAAACUUCUUUUAUAAAGGAAUAAAGUGAGGCACGGGUGCCUUUUUGUAUGUACUUUCUGAAUAAGGAUCGGCUAACUCCGUGCCAGCAGCCGCGGUAAUCCGGAGGAUCCGAGCGUUAUCCGGAUUUAUUGGGUUUAAAGGGUGCGUGGAGGGGUUGUUAAGUCAGUGGUGAAAGUUUGCGGCUCAACCGUAAAAUUGCAAUUGAUACUGGCAGUCGUGAGUACAGUUGGGGAAGGCGGAAUUCGGGGUGUAGCGGUGAAAUGCUUAGAUAUCACGAAGAACUCCGAUUGCGAAGGCAGGUUACUAAGCUGCCACUGACAUUGAUGCUCGAAAGUGUGGGUAUCGAACAGGAUUAGAUACCCUUGUAGUC
rnacentral:rRNA from 1 species